GACGAACGCUGGCGGCGUGCUUAACACAUGCAAGUCGAACGGUAAGGCCCUGCUUGCCGGGUACUCGAGUGGCGAACGGGUGAGUAACACGUGGGUGGUCUGCCCUCCACUUCGGGAUAAGCCUGGGAAACUGGGUCUAAUACCGGAUAGGAGCCAUUCUUAGUGUGUUGGUUGGAAAGUUUUUUCGGUGUAGGGUGGGCUGGCGGGCUAGCAGCUUGUUGGUGGGGUAAUGGCCUACCGAGGCGGCGACGGGUAGCCGGCCUGAGAGGGUGGACGGCCACAGUGGGACUGAGAAACGGCCCAGACACCUACGGGAGGCAGAAGUGGGGAAUAUGGCACAAUGGGCGAAAGCCUGAUGCAGAGACGCCGCGUGGGGGAGGACGGCCUUCGGGUUGUAAAAGCAUUUCGCUAGGGACGAAGCUUUUUGUGACGGUACCUAGAUAAGAAGCACCGGCUAACUACGUG
rnacentral:rRNA from 1 species